GUGCGUAACGCGUAUACAAUCUGCCUUUCACUGGGGGAUAGCCCGAAGAAAUUUGGAUUAAUACCCCAUAGUAUAUAGGGACGGCAUCGUUUUUAUAUUAAAGCUACGGUGGUGAAAGAUGAGUAUGCGUUCUAUUAGCUAGUUGGAGAGGUAACGGCUCCCCAAGGCGAUGAUAGAUAGGGGUUCUGAGAGGGAUGUCCCCCACACUGGUACUGAGAUACGGACCAGACUCCUACGGGAGGCAGCAGUGAGGAAUAUUGGACAAUGGUCGGAAGACUGAUCCAGCCAUGCCGCGUGCAGGAUGAAGGUCUUAUGGAUUGUAAACUGCU
rnacentral:rRNA from 5 species